GGGGUCAUAGUAUAACCAGGUAGUACGGCAGGCUCCAGACCUGCAUAUUGGAGUUCGAAAGCCUGAAAGGCCGAUGCCGGCAGGGCCGCCAAUCUCCAUGACCCCA
rnacentral:tRNA from 1 species